rnacentral:rRNA from 1 species
AUUGAACGCUGGCGGAAUGCUUUACACAUGCAAGUCGAACGGCAGCACGGACUUCGGUCUGGUGGCGAGUGGCGAACGGGUGAGUAAUACAUCGGAACGUGCCCAGUCGUGGGGGAUAACGUAGCGAAAGCUACGCUAAUACCGCAUACGAUCUACGGAUGAAAGCGGGGGAUCGCAAGACCUCGCGCGAUUGGAGCGGCCGAUGGCAGAUUAGGUAGUAGGUGGGGUAAAGGCUCACCAAGCCGACGAUCUGUAGCUGGUCUGAGAGGACGACCAGCCACACUGGGACUGAGACACGGCCCAGACUCCUACGGGAGUCAGCAGUGGGGAAUUUUGGACAAUGGGCGCAAGCCUGAUCCAGCCAUUCCGCGUGCAGGAUGAAGGCCCUCGGGUUGUAAACUGCUUUUGUACGGAACGAAAAGGCUCUGGUUAAUACCCGGGGCUCAUGACGGUACCGUAAGAAUAAGCACCGGCUAACUACGUGCCAGCAGCCGCGGUAAAAC